AAUAAAUAUAGUUUUGUACUAUCCGUUCGUCUUAUUUGAAAUUUUUUUAUUAGUAUUUUUAUUACUAUUAAAUGAUAAAACAUAAAUAGUACUUUAUGUGUGACUAAAUAUUUUUAAAUUUUUCACAAAUUUUUCAAAUAAGACGAACGGUCAAACGUUGGGCACGGAUAUCCACAGCUGCACUUAUU
rnacentral:pre_miRNA from 1 species